ensembl:snoRNA U3 Small nucleolar RNA U3
AAGACUAUAUUUUCAGGGAUCAUUUUUUUAGUUCUUGACUUGAGAAAUGUGUUUCUAAAGUGUUUGAUCUCGCUAACCAUGAUGAUGCGUAGUGAUAUUCUUUUCUGACAGUAAAUCUGAUGGACAGUAAUGAUUAACUUCACAUUCUAUUUGUGAUUGAUGAUUGUUUUUAGCAUCUUCGUGGAGAAUAGAGGAAGGGAAUGUGGUGAGAGUGGG